rnacentral:rRNA from 1 species
AUUGAACGCUGGCGGCAGGCUUAACACCUGCAAGUCGAGCGAGCGGCGGACGGGUGAGUAAUGUCUGGGAAACUGCCUGAUGGAGGGGGAUAACUCCUUGAAACGGUAGCUACUACCGCAUACCAUCAGAUGUGCCCAGAUGGGCUUAGCUAGUAGGUGGGGUAAUGGCUCACCUAGGCGACGGUCCCUAGCUGGUCUGAGAGGAUGACCAGCCACCUUGGAACUGAGAAGCGGUCAAUACUCCUACGGGAGGCAGCGUGGGGGAAGAUUGCACAAUGGGCGCAAGCCUGGUGAAGACAUGCCGCGUGUUGGAAGAAUGCCAUGGGUUUGUAAAGCUCUUUCAGCGAGGAGGCGUUACUCGAAGAAGAAGCACCGGCUAACUCCGUGACAGCAGCCGCGGUAAUAC